GUCUCUGUGGCGCAAUUGGUUAGCGCGUUUGGCUGUAAACCGGAAGGUUGGUGGUUCAAGCCCACCCAGGGACG
rnacentral:tRNA from 1 species